rnacentral:rRNA from 1 species
UGCGUAGGCGGUUUGGAAAGUCUGAUGUGAAAGCCUACAGCUUAACUGUAGAACUGCAUUGGAAACUUCCAGACUAGAAUACUGAAGGGGCAGAUGGAAUUAGUGGUGUAGGGGUAAAAUCCGUAGAUAUCACUAGGAAUACCGAAAGCGAAAGCGAUCUGCUGGGAAGUUAUUGACGCUGAGGCACGAAAGCGUGGGGAGCGAACAGGAUUAGAUACCCUGGUAGUCC